GUUGGCGUCAGCGUUGUCAUUGUCGUCGUUGUCCAAAUACUUUUGGUUUUCGCACUAUAACUUUAGUUUAAGUAAAUAGAAAUCUAUGAAAUUCGAACACAAGGUUUAUGACCACAAAAGGAAGGUUGGGAUUGAUUUUGGAAGUUUUGGUCCCAACAGUUUAGGAAUUAGGGGCCAAAAAGGGCCCAAAUAAGCAUUUUCUUGGUUUUCACACUAUAACUUUAGUUUAAGUUAAUAGAAAUAUAUGAAAUUUUGACACAAGGUUUAUGACCACAAAAGGGAGGUUGGGAUUGAUUUUGGGAGUUUUGGUUCCAACUUUUUAGGAAUUAGGGGCCAAAAAAGGGCCCAAAUAAGCAUUAUUCUUGGUUUUUGC
rnacentral:lncRNA from 1 species